AAAAGAAAAUUAUACGAAUUCUAGGUUUAAAAAUAUAAAAUUAAAAGAGUUAGCCCCAAAAGCCACAAACUCAGGGCUAAGCCCUGCCGCCAGGAAUAGCAGGCCAUAAAGAUAAAGAAAAGGAAUGCAAGAACCAGCUCAGGCUAUCGAGGACUGACCCAUAAACCAUCCAAAGACGUCCCCCCAGCUUACUCAGAGUCAUACUUUAACCAGAUGUCCUCCAGACCCUGAUAAGCCCCUACUUGUGCUUUUCAGCCAUUGUGUCCUACAGAGAGCAUUCCAGGAAACCGGGCAGCCCAAGCCUAACCAGAGGUGUUUCAAAUACAAAUGCUCCAUCAGUUUUGACAAACGUUUAAAAAUAAUGAGGACCUGAAGACCCUACCCUUCUCCUGAUUUAGUAGCUCUGUUCCAGGAACCAGGGGGCCAUAAAACCUUCUGGCGUCCCCUUAUCUCCUGGAGCCAUAAAACAAUCCUGUAACUUGUGGUGCAUUCCCCUUUGACAUCCCCCAUCCCCUGGUGCUCACAGCCUCUGCCUUUAAAUACUCUUUUUCCCAGCCUCUCGGGGUCGACACCUCUGUCUCCUGCGCGGGAUACGUGUCGGCCCGGAGAUCUCUGUAAUAGGUCUCCGUAAUAAACCUCGCCUUUGCUUAUUACAUCCAAAAUGGUCUCUCUGUGUCUGGGGUCCGCGAUUUCCCAAGACUUGAGUAAGGGUCUCUCUGCGUGGGAUCUUUCAUAUUUAUGGGGGCUCGUCCGGGAUCUGCGCGACUACCCCAGACUCCGAAGACCCCUUGGAGGUGAGUUGGAUGUUUGUCUGAGUGUUUCUGUGUGAGCGGCGCCGCAAUUGUCAGUCUGUGUCUGUCUCUGUUUUGGUUCCGCCGUGUGUGUAUAUAUGUGUGUCUUAGUACUGGUCAGUGUUAAGAGGGCAGAUGGGUAUUCCUGCCCUGUGUUAAGAGGGCAGAUGGGUGUUCCUGCCUUGUGCUAAGAGGGUGGAUGUGUAUUCCUGCCCUGUGGUAAGAGGGUGGAUGUGUAUUCCUGCCCUGUAGGAGAGUGGAUGUGUAUCCCCACUCAGUGCAGCUGCCUUUGUGGUCCGUGAGGACCCCCUGGCUGCGGAAGGGGGGACGCCCCGGGCCCGCAAGGCUGCAGCCCCUGGAAGACGUUCCACGGGCGGAGAACAGUCGGGAGAGCCCGGCUAUGGACAGUCAGGAGGACCUGACUCUGGUUUUCUGGAACAAAGGAGAUGGAAUGCUCCUUUUACCUAGGCGGGAGUGGACGAGGAAUCCCACUCCGUCAGAGGUCGAGUUCGGCUGCCUAUUUAAAUAUAGGCACGGACAAGUGUGCUUAGUCGUUAGGACAAGAGGACACUCUGGAAUCCUGUUGGGAGGUGGAAUCAGAUGGUCCAUCUCAUCCCAAAAGCAGCUAAGGUUAAGCUGCAGUUUGGGCCACGUACUGAAGGUCUUCUUUACCACCGAGGAAAGACAGAAUCCUACUAGAGGCCAGAAAAAGUGUUCCAGAGAUGGAUGGAAGGCCCUCACUUCUGCCUGCUCUCUUCAGACGCCUAAAGACCUGGAGCCACCACAGCACGAGUGUCAAACACUGACAGAAGCACAUGGGUGGAGGAAAGACCUGUGCGACUGGCUGAUUGACCCCUGCUGAAAGCCGAGGACCUUGUCCACAGACGGGAACAGUUCUCUUCAUGAAUAAAGGUCAGAGAUAAGUGGGUGCUGCCAUGGUGGAAAACACAAUGUCAUCUGGGAUGGCUGAACCUCUACCCCCCCAGCACAUCAGCGCCACAGAUAUCUUUGCCAUCUCUUAGAUGCCCUGAUGAAGCCAACAACUGUGAGUACUAUUCAUUGCUCAGGAUAUCAGGAGGGAAGUGAUUCAGUGACAUGGGACAAUAACAAAACAGAUAAAGUGGCUCGGGAAAUGGCUAUGCAGGAGCCUAUCCUGGUUACAGGCCUACAAGAAACAGCCACUGAGAACUAGGAUCGGACUAAGGGAUGGCCUCACUUAGAAAAGGCCCAAAUUGCUUAAAAGAUAAAGGACAAUGGCACACUUGAGGGGAAGCUAUACUCCCCAGAGAACAAAGAAAAGACUCACUUUGCCAAAUAAAAAAAUAGACUCAUUUAAGAGAUAAGAAGUUUGUCCAAAUAGUUAAAAUAUAUAUAAUAGACUUUAAGAUUUUAGCCAAGAGAGACAAUAAAAAAGUAUAAAAUACGUCAAUAAAUAAAUGCUUAACAAACAGGACAAAGAGACCUAGAGAGUUUAACGAAAAGUCGAAGUGAACUUCACUGAGAUAAAACCAGAAAAAUAUAAUCUCCUAGUGCUUGUAGAUACUUUUUCAGAAAUAGACAGAAGCUUUCCUCACCAAACGAGAGACGGCCUCUGCAAUCAUCAAGAAGAUACUGAAAGAAAUCUUCCCCAGGUCUGGAAUGCCCAAGGUAAUCUGGUCAGACAACGGUCCUACUUUCGUUGCCAAGGUAAGCCAGGGUGUGGCCAAAUAUUUAGAGGUCGAUUGGAAAUUACAUUAUAUUUACAGACCUCAAAGUUCAAGACAGGUAGAGUAAAUAAACAGAACUCUAAAAGAGACCCUAAACAAAUUGACCAUGGAGACUGGCACAGACUGGGUGACACUCCUUCCCUCCUGCUCUCUUCAGAGCAAGAAAUACCCCUUCCAAAUUCAGCCUUACCCCCUUUGAGAUCUUAUAUGGGGCCUCAGCUCCUCUGACUGUAUUAGAUGAUGUUACUGAACCAACAUGUCAUAGUAAUAAUGAUUUGUGUGCCAGGCUAAAAGACCUACAGGUGAUACAGAAAGAAAUCUGCUCACAGCUGACAGCAGCCUAUGCCCCGGAGACCCCUGAGACAUCCCAUCAGUUCCAGGUCGGAAACAGCUACACUGAGCCCAGACACUCGAUCCUCGCUGGAAAGGACCAUACCUGGUGCUGCUGACCACCCUGACAGCCGUCAAUUCUCAGCCCUCACCAGCCGUGUACUAGCUGUUAGGGCUGAGAGCUGGGACCUAGAGAGAAAUUCAGUCAUGUUUGUCCUGGGUUCCAUCGAGAUAGGUGUGGGGAUAGGCUUGAUUUCUAUUACAAAUAAUGUAACAUUACAUAUGUUAGUACUCCUAACACUUCUUGGGACUGUGCC